CUCUUAACAGUAGUGAUAUCUCAGGGCUUCCUUCUUCCAAUCAAAGCUUAUCUACCUUGUCUUAGACGAGUCCUCUUCUACCUUGAACUAAUUGCACCUAAUUGUUGCUGAACUUGGUGGUUUUGGGAAUAUUUUAAAUGUCCAUCUCUAAUCUGUUCUGUAGUGGCCUGGAUUCAAGAUUGAUCGUUAAGUACUGUAGCUGUGAAUUAUCUUCAACAUGAUUCUUGAGCCAAAAAGUUGAGCUGUUCUUCUCUUUGAGUACUUGGUGUGGCAGGUUUUCUUGACCAACAGUGGACAGUUUUUGGUUAGUUAUAAACCCUUUCUGUCCCCUACUUUGAUGAAGAAGUUUGCGUGGCUAAAAUGUCUGAAAAAAGUUCUCAACACCCUUAUGCUUAUUACUUCAAUUUGAAAAUUGACAGUUUUUGGAUUAUAGGUAAUGAAUAUAUAUUUCUAUUUUAGGGUCUUGGUUUUGGGUCAUGCUGUUUCUUGUUGACAUUUUAGGCUUCCUAAACUACAUCCCUGCAGGAGAUCCCUGAAGGAGUUUUUCUCUUUCCCUACUUCAAGUUAGGUUUUUUUCCAAUUCUAAUGAAUAGUUUAUGGUUAGCUAAGUCUGUUUAUCCAUCUUCAUUUUAGGAAGGAGCUUGGAAUUUUAGAACUUACUGGGUUAAAGUGAUUGAAAGGUGUUCUCUGCUUCUUUGGAGCAUUACAUUUUUUUUGGAAAUUAGCAUGAAUCAGAUUAUCUGUAAGGACUUUUUGUGUUUAUUUUACGAUCUUGGGUUUGUGUCUUCCUGUUUUCAUUGAGAUUCUUGCUUCCUUCUUCUGAGGCUAACACUAUUUACAUUGUUUUGAAGGAACUCUUUUCUGCCUCAGACUAAUUGAUCCUCUGUGCUUCAUCAAUUAUCGGUUUUCUAUUGAUGUUUGAUGUCUUCUCUCUAUUGUUGGAACCGCAAGAUGGGUGUUGUGCUUGAAGACCUCCUUGGCUUUUUUAUCUGCUUCUUGAUUAUUUGGUGAAUUCAUUCUGCUGUUUGGUGUGGCAUUAAAAUUUACCUAUCUGCUUGAUGUUGCAAGAGAAAAUGGGAAUUUCUGGUCUGUCCCUACUUUCCUUCUGAGCUUUUCUCGAUGAAAUAGUGGAUAGUGUAUCAGGAUAACAUGUCAUCUUCAUUUUGGAAGGAGCUUGGAUUUGGUGAGCUCGGUGAUGUCAUUAAAAUAAUUGAAAGGAGGUCUCUGCUUCCCUAUGUGUAUUACUUUGUUUGAAGAUUAACAGUUUUGGGAUUUUCUGUAACAACUAUAUAUCUACAUCUUUUGAUCUUGGGUUUCAAUCAUGCUGUUGUCAUUUAGAUCUUGGGGCUUUCUUUUGUCAAAGGCUAUUUACAUCGUUGAAGGUCAAACUAAUUGUUCGUUUGUUUUUGAUCAGUUAUUGGUUUUGGGGAUGUGAUUGACGCCUAUGUUUCCUCUACUGCAGCAGCUUGCAUUCAAGUGACAUCCCAGGCUCUUUUACCUGCUUUUGAUUUUUUUGUUGAUUUCAUUCUUUCAUUGGAGCUGAUUUCUUGAAUAAUUAUUUUUAAUUAUUUGGGGUGGCAGUGAAUUCCACUGUGCUUUAAUGUGGAUAGAAUUGCAAGUCCUCUGUUGUGGUCUACAUGCUUUUGCAGGAGAACCGGAGUUUUUUUGCUUUCCAUACUUUUCUUGCUAGGUUUCUCUGAACAAUAAUGGAUAGUUUCUGGUUAAAUUUUGAGAGGCUCCAGUCAUCAUCAUUUUAGACAUUGAAGCAAGUCAGUGUGCAGUUAUAAAGUGAUUGAAAGGAGUACGUGUAUUACUUUGUCUUGGGUUAUCUGUAUCGCAUUUGCAUAUUUGUUGUAGGAGUUUCAAUUGGUUUGAGCUGUUGUAGUGACAUCCUCGGUCUCCUUCAGAUUAAAGGCUAUCCACAUUGGUGUGAAAGGAAUUCUAUUCUGCCUAAACUAAUUGCUUAUUAGUGCUUGACAAUUGACCAUUUUUGGGCUGUGGUAGCAUCUGUGUCUUGUUUGUAUUCUAGGAGCUCAGGUUCAAGAUUGGCCUCAUGGUAAAAUCUCUGGCUGUUUUAUCUGCUUUUGAAGCUGGUACUGGUCGGCAGAGUUUCACGAAUAAUGUUCAUUCCUGGUUAUGUGGUGUGGUUAUGAAAUAAUUGUUUGUUCUGAUGCAAUUACUAAUUGCAGUUCAUCAGCUUAAGUUAUAAAUAUAUGUUUUUUCCUGGUCUAUGAAUUGGAAUUCAUUGGUCGAGGACUAGCUAUUUUAGUUUCUAUGGUGUAUUUAUAGCAGCAGGUCCUGUUUUUGUUGCUGCAGAGAAUACACUGACUGGACACUACUUGCUUUGCCAACACCUUUGAUAUACGCAGUCUUAAUGUUCAUAACAUAUGCUUCUGAAUCUGUUGGACCCUGUAGAUUGCCAGGUUGAUUGAUGAACUGUCAAUUCUACUCUUUCAAGCACUUGUUACAAUUCUUGUUCUGCAACUUUUAUAGUAGUUUUCAAAAUUUUCAAAUGAUCUUCUGGAGGGUUUCCCUUGGGUUUGCAGGUAUGGGAACUUGUUUUGGCUUUUUGCAAAUCUUGCGAGCAAUACUAUUGAGGUCCGUCUAAUGCCCUGUUUCUCUUUGUUUGCACCACAUAUCUUCAGAAUUGUGGGUUCAGCUAUAAGAAAAUGGUGGUCAUCUAUUAUAAUUGUGGAACUUCUAAGAGGUUGUUGUGUUAGUAUUUGAUAAUCUACACUUCUGUUGGUGGUCUAUCAUGUCAUGUUGCUUUGCACACAUUUGUGGUUCUUCUCCUGCUUGUUUGGCUGAAUAUGCAUAUUUAAAAGAGCUUUUAAAGUUGAAGAAGUGAAGGUUUCCUCUUACUGAGGUUAUUUUUACUGUUCUCUUUUUCCACUUUCAAAUUUUCUGCUUGCUCACUGUUUGGAGACACUGAUUCAAAGGCCAUUUCAUUUAAUUUUUCCUUCCUUUUCUGGAAGCUAUAUGGGCUAUAUGUUGCUUAAUAUUUGCGUGAAUUGUUUAUCUUCAGAUGUCUGAACCUGUUCUAUACCAUGUAGCUCUUUAUGUUUGCAUCCCCUUGUUAACUUCACGGUUAGUAAAGGUUUUUGAGAGUUUCAUGCGGCAAUGCUAAAUUCAUUUCUAUGGUCAUUCAGAUGCUAUUUGAGCACUACAGUUUUCAAUACAUAUGCAUCUGGUUUUUCCAUAGUUAACCUGUGAAGGUAUAUAGGUAGAAUGAGUGCUAGCUGCUUUGUCUCCGGGGACAUCUGGACAAAUGUCACAGAAAAGGAAAAUACAUAUAGCAGAAAGUGACUGUGUCAAAUUUGUUCAAGAAAAUAGAAAAGAUUCAUAAGCUUUCAAAUUUGUUCAAAUAAUGAGUGAAAGAUUCAUAAAGAUUCAUAAAGGGUGUUUGUGCUAAGGUAGCACUAUUGGUCUGCUAGUUGAUCUGCUUAUUCUAUAACACUCUUAGCCAGAAUUCUGUGCAUCGACAGCCUUUGGUUUAGUUACUGGUUUCCAACACCUCAAUACAGCUUUUGGUUUCGUUACAAAAUUUUGGGGGAGUUUUUCUUUCUCUUCUUCUGGUUUUGUGCUGUUUUCCUGAAGAAUGAUUGGGUGUUCUUUUUUUUUUUUUUUGUUUGGAUGAUAAUGAUUGAAAAACCAUAGAUGUUAUCUAACAUACAUGACUUUGUUUGGUAUUCCAGUUUAUCGGGCAAUUUUGGCAUCAUAUUACUGUAUUGUUGUUGUUGCUUAGAGAUUGGCCUUGUUUUUAGAAUGGCGGAAUUCUGGCCUCCCAAGGAGAGAUGUUUCUUUGAUGGAUGUGCUCUAGAAUUGGGAGUUUUUUUUUUCUCUCUCAUACUCUCCACGUUGUUCUAAUUUUUGCUUGAAAAAUUUGCCGCCUUGUAGGGAGUCAUUAUUAACUGGCUCUGCAUGUUGCCUUUGAUUGUAGGGGAGCUUUGGAGUUUUGGUCAUUGUCGUUACCCUGAUUGGUUCAUGAGAUUUCAUACAAGUUUGCUCUUUCCCUACUUUUAUUAUUUUUUUAAAUUGUUUUUCCUGAGGAGUGGUUCAAACCUUCUGGAUAUGAUGAUUGAUUUGCUCUGUGUCUACCUCAUUAGUAUUGUAGGAUUGAACAACUCGUGUGUUUCACAGGAACUAGUUAACUUCCUUAACAUGACAGUGGUUGCUGGAAUGUUGGUCUAGAUGAUUCGGAAAUUUGGUGACAACUUUACGUCUCCUGCCCAAGAUCAAAGGCUUUUUGCAUUGUUAAUGAAGGGAGUUCACAUUAUCUCUUCCUUCGUGCUUGAGCCAACUUAGUGGGUUUGACACCUGUAAAUAUCUGUGUCCCCUCUUUGUGCUAUGACCUUGGAAUUGAGACGUGCAUCUUCUAAUGCAUCUAAAGGCUUUUCUAUCUCUCUCUCUCUCUCUUUUUUUUAAAAAAAACCCUUUUUUCUAAAAAAAACCCUUUUUUCUCGUGUAUUUCUUUCUUGUGUUCUGAUAAUACUCUGUUUAAAGUUGUACUGAUUAUUGGUCUCGUUCCAAGAGUUCCCCUUCAUCCCAAACUCUUUAGUUCUGUUUGCUCUGAGGAGGUAACUGGCAUCAUCAGGUCUUGUUCAAAUAGAGUGUGUGAAUUCGAUUGUUUUCGUCCUGUUGUUACCUGUGCAUUUACAUUCUGGAGAGCUUCUUUUGUCAUAUGCAUCAUGAUGGUUAGCGUGGCUUCUGAAUGGUUAUAUGUCCUCCUCUUCAUGUUAGGAGCUUAGGUUGAAGAACUCAUCUGUGUAGUGGGCAUUGUUUGGAAGAGGUUCUAAUUCUCCAUCUUUAUUACUUGGAGGUUGUCUUUUUAGGCAGCUGUGGAAUUUCAAGAUUUGCAAUGUUUGAAUGAUAGCGUUGGGGGUACAACUAUCAGCAUUUAAACAAUAUGUGAAGGAGAGCUAUCCAAGGGAUGUGACAGUUUAAAGUGUUUGAAAGUAGUUCUUUUAUGUCUCCACGCUGAUCACUGUGCAUAACUGUUUGAAAACCAACAGGUUCUGUGUCAUUUGACUUUGUAUAUUUGUGGUUUUUUGACAGUUUCAGGCUGUUGUAGUGAUGCCUAAGGAAUUCCUUCUUCCAAUCAAAGCUAUCUACCUUGUUUUGAAGCAGCCUUCUUCCCCUGAGAUGCUCCGUUGGAAUGGUUCGGGUCAUUGGGUCGAUCAGAGAGCCUUGAAUUCCUUUCCUUUCUCAGCUCUUACAGCUGCAUUGUUUUGAAGCUACGAGGAGAACGCUCCCCAGAAUGAUGAUUAGCUGGUUUAUCAUGGUUGUCUCUUCCAAUGCAGGUUGAAUUCCGAGACAAAUUGGCGGUUUACACGGCCUCGGAGGUAUUGUUCCAUUUUUCCUCCUUUCCUAGGAUUUUCUGAUCUGCUUUCUUCUCUGCCUUCUUGCUUCAUCUUUGUCUUGCAGGUUUUGUUUGCUUUCGGUGUUUUCUCUUUCUUUUCUUCUCCUCUGUCUGGCUUUCUUGCGAACUCAUAUCUGUGUAAAUAUAUAUUUCAAUGGAUUUCAUUUGGUACCUCCGGACCGAAGCAUACCAUCUCAACUAAGAUGUCUGGGCAUUUUUUGGGCAAGCCUAAAACUCACACCGCACAUUGCGCGGUGUUCACCUCCUAGUUACCUUCUAAAUGCGGUUUACCAACUACCAAGAGAUAACACUGUCCAUCUUCAAAACAUUGUUUAUUUUCUGGUUAUGGUGUGAUUAUGAAACAAUGGCCUAGAGGUGAUCCUUGACAAAUUAAGUUCUAUUUUAUUUAGAAAUCCUGGACAGAUUUACUUCUCAAAACCUUGUUUAUCUUCUGGUUAUGGUAUGAUUUUGAAACAAUGGCUAGAGAUGAUCCUUGACAGAUUUAUUUAGAAAUCCUUGACAGAUUUACUUCUCAA